AUGGGAGGUAUGAAAGGAAAUUUAUCCUGUAGAUGUAGAAUUUGUUUGAAUUUCAGACAUAACCAGGAGACAAAAAGGAGAAGCCACAAGAUGCUCUCCCACCUUCUCCAGCAAGAGGCAACCACCUACCUACCUUCACCUUUGUUACUACCACCAUCACCUAUAAAAAGUACAGCUUUGGCCUUGAAAUGUUGGGUGUGUGUCAAUGCAAGAGUUACGUUGGUAUGCCUUGCAGUUCUCACUUUGAAAUAUGGAACCAGUCCUUUAUGGAAUGAGCUUUGCUGUGCUUAAAGACUGAAGUGAUUUUCUAAACAAAAGAUGAAUUCAGAAUGUUCAAUAGAAAAGGAACUAACAACAUUUACAGCCACAGGACAAGCUAGAAGCAACUCCCUUUUGUGUAUGUGCUUGCUUGCAUGUUUAUUAGCAACAACUGUGUGCAGAGCUUUCUUAGGGGGUCAGAGGAAUGGAACAAUUGGACCCUAAGAGGAUGUCAAGUCUACCUGGCUGCCUGUGGUAGGCCUAAAAUAACCAGCUGAAAUGGAACUCUGGCCUGUUUUCUGAAGCCUCAAGGGAAGGCUUACUCCUCUAUAAUCCGACCCAUUUUUAACAACCCUUAAUAUCAUACCAGCAAGCAUUCCCUUGUGUCAAACCUAUAUCCCCUCUGCUGCUGAUUUACUGUUUGUUCUCACAUGCAUGCAAUGCUGGUGUAGGGGAUCAAACCCAGUCCCUCCACCCUGCUCAUUUGUACAUUCCCUUGGAAUAGCAACUGGAUAUUGAUACUGGUCCAGUGCCCAGAUCAGUCUCUAGAUUAAAGGCAGUGUCUGCCCUACUUCUCUUGACCACUCUUGCCUGUUAAUGCAGUAAAGGUAUAUCAUUAACUUCAUUCUCCCUGUUGUGAGAAGACAGGUUUGAUUUCUUUUUAGGGUUUUUGUUUCUUUAAUGAACACAAUGUGCCAUCCCAGUGCUAAGUUCUUGGAAAACAAUGGUGGACAGGAAAGACCAAGACCCUGCCCUCAUGCAUGGAGUUCAAACAGAGUACAAGUAAUUAUAAGUGAGGUAAGAGUUAAAAGAAGUGUAGGUUGCCAAAAAAUCACACAACGGUCUGAGCUAACAUAGACUGGGAGGACAGGAAAGCUUUCUGGAUAAAGUCAUGUUUCACCUGAAACCUGAAGGAUAAAUAGGAAUUAUCAAAGUGGAGAAGAGUAUUCAUGGCAGAAGGAAUGGCAUACUCACAGGCCCGAGCAGGAGAAAGAGAGUGACCUGUCUAAGGGCUGGUGCUGAAGUUCAGACAGUAGGAUAGAAGCUGUGGAACCAUCAGACAUCACUCAUAGCCCAUACCUGCUCAACUGCUCAGCCCUAGUCCUGGCUUUUGCAGGUUGGGAGCUCAGAACCACUGGAUGCUCAGAGACAAGGGUCAGGUACCUGGAGGAAAGGUAGAAGGAAAAGGCCCCACUUGAGCACCCAGAGGCCUUGAAUGCUCUAGAGGCUCCUGUGAUAGCAUGACGUAGCACAAUAGCAGCAGUCAACUCGCAGGGGAUUGAGGUGCUGUGUGUGUAGUCUUUAGCAAGUCACACUUUCAGGCUCCCUAAACCCUCAUCUAUAAGAUGACAAGUUUAGGUAUGGACCCUCCUCACUCAUAUUCUAGAAGCAUUUCACAACAGUAGUCCCUAUAUGGUUUGUUCAUUCUUAAGUGGGUCACGUUAUUACUGAGCUAGCCUACAUUUGGGAGUGGGAGGAGGAGUUAUUCAGACACAGCCAGCAGGCCUCUCUCCAAUUCACUUUUUUUUUUUUCUUUUUUUUUUUUUUUUUUUUGGUGUGUGGGGAAGGGUCAAUUUUUUUGUUGUUGUAAAAUAUACAUAACAUAAAAUUAGCAUUUUAGUCACUUUUGUGUGUACAAUUCAGUGGAAUUAAUUACACUCACAGUGUUGUACAGCCCUCACCAGUAUCCAUUUCCAAAACUUUUUCACUCAAUUCACUUUUUUUUCAGUGAGGAUAGUUUCCCUUUUUUUUUCCAGUUUUAUUAAAAUAUGACUAGCACAUAAUAUUGUAUUAAAAAUAUACAACAUAAUGAUUUGAUAGAUGUAUAUGUUGAGAAAUAAUUACCACAAUAAAUUUAGUUAACUCCAAUUCACUUUUUUUUUUAAGAUUUAUUUACUUAGAGCACAGGAGCAUGCACAAGCAGGGGGAGGGGCAGAGGGAGAGAGAGAAUUUCAAGCAGACUCCCCACUGAGCACGGAGCCCAACGCUAGGUUCAUUCCCAGGACCCUGAGAUCAUGACCUGAGCCAAAACCAAGAGUCAGAGGCUUAACUAAUUGUGCCACCUAGGCGCCCCAACUCCAAUUCACUUUUUUUUUUUAAGAUUUUAUUUAUUUAUUCAUGAGAGACAUAGAGAGAGAGAGGCAGAGACACAGGCAGAGGAAGAAGCAGGCUCCAUGCAGGAAGCCCGAUGCGGGACUUGAUCCCGGGACCCCAGGAUCACACCCUGGGCCGAAGGCAGGUGCUAAACCGCUGAGCCACCCAGGGAUCCCCCUCCAAUUCACUUUUAAACAAGUCUGGCCAAGUUCUGUAAGUGUCCUCACAAUCCACGAGCCUGACCAUCUAUCAUGACUAGUGACUUGGACCUUGAGAGAUCUGGUGCUACUCUUAAAGCAAAUGAUGCUUCUUACUCCUUGUAUAAACAUGUGUACAAAGGGUAAAAAAAACUGUUCAGUAAACUGCUUAUAUAGUUAAAUCCUCUUCUUCUGCCACUAGAUAGAUCACCUUGUUUAAGAUCAUAGUACUUAAUACCCCUAAUUUACCAAGCCCCAUCUAUGUGCCUAGCACUAAGCUAGUGGCCUUAUACAUGUCAUUUGACAGGUAGGGAAUAUUAUUCUCCUUUUACAGAUAAAGGAAUAGGCUCUGAUGGAACCGGAUUUUCAACCCAAAUCAGUCUGGUUUUUUUUUUCCACCCCUCUUUACCUAGUUGCUUCCCCAAAGGCAGCUAAAGGGGAGACCUGAAGAGGGCAUUUUGAAAAAUGAAGAAGAGCAAAGUAUAACAAAAAUUAAGUUUAAGCUCAUGCUUAACCUACUCAAAUUUGUGAUUGGUUUUGUCAUAUAAGCUCUAGCGUCUUCAGUGCAGUCUUUCUUAUCUCUCUAGGCCAUGGAACUGAUGGUAUUUACUGCCCCACUUUUCAAGGAUGGUAUGUGGCUCAAUUACUUAAUUAAGAAAAUCCUCAGAGCAUCAGGGUGCUUAGCAGGCAGGAAGGGUUAAUAGCCCAAGGAAGGGCUGAGCUCCCUCUACCCCAGGUCGGCACAAGCCAGAAAUAAUGAAGCCAGGUGAACUGCAAACCUUGGCUGCGAGUCUUGAUAGAACAGAAAAACAUGGAGACAAGGGAAUUGUCAGGUAAAUUAGUAUUAAGAGUUCAGAUUUUGGGAAUGUGAACUGGUGCAGCCACUCUGGAAAACUGUGUGGAGGUUCCUCAAAGAGUUAAAAAUAGACCUGCCCUACGACCCAGCAAUUGCACUGUUGGGGAUUUACCCCAAAGAUUCAGAUGCAAUGAAACGCCGGGACACCUGCACCCCGAUGUUUCUAGCAGCAAUGUCCACAAUAGCCAAACUGUGGAAGGAGCCUCGGUGUCCAUCGAAAGAUGAUGGAUAAAGAAGAUGUGGUUUAUGUAUACAAUGGAAUAUUACUCAGCUAUUAGAAACGACAAAUACCCACCAUUUGCUUCAACGUGGAUGGAACUGGAGGGUAUUAUGCUGAGUGAAGUAAGUCAGUCGGAGAAGGACAAAUAGUGUAUGUUCUCAUUCAUUUGGGGAAUAUAAAUAAUAGUGAAAGGGAAUAUAAAGGAAGGGAGAAGAAAUGUGUGGGAAAUAUCAGAAAGGGAGACAGAACAUAAAGACUCCUAACUCUGGGAAACGAACUAGGGGUGGUGGAAGGAGAGGAGGGCAGGGGGUGGGGAUGAAUGGGUGACGGGCACUGAGGGGGGCACUUGACUGGAUGAGCACUGGGUGUUAUUCUGUAUGUUGGUAAAUUGAACACCAAUAAAAAAUUAAUUUAUUAAAAAAAG
rnacentral:lncRNA from 1 species